UACGUAGGGUCCGAGCGUUGUCCGGAAUUAUUGGGCGUAAAGAGCUCGUAGGCGGUUUGUCGCGUCUGCUGUGAAAUCCGAGGCUCAACCUCGGGUCUGCAGUGGGUACGGGCAGACUGGAGUGCGGUAGGGGAGAAUGGAAUUCCUGGUGUAGCGGUGGAAUGCGCAGAUAUCAGGAGGAACACCGAUGGCGAAGGCAGUUCUCUGGGCCGUAACUGACGCUGAGGAGCGAAAGCGUGGGGAGCGAACAGG
rnacentral:rRNA from 1 species